GGCCCCUGGCAAUGGGCAAAAAGAUACCUUGUUGGUGUUCUUAUAUCAGUCAGGCGCAGAGCAGAUAUCAGUCCUUUGUUCUUCCUCGCUUGAUGCCUGGCUUGAUGGCCAAAGCUGUCUUAUGCCUAGGACACAUAA